AAAUCUUCGUGCGUUAUGAUUGUGGGUCCUAGUCUUCACUUCCCUUCAGCACGAGUUGUACCCAAGUCGAGCCCAGGUCGAGCCCAGUUUCGAGCGGAGUCCCACGGCCGCCCAAAAACCCUUGCCUUUGUACUUGAACACCGUGAUUUCUCCCACAAAUGCCGCCUCCUCAUGGCGAUGGAUCGCCCCUCUCUGCAUCAACCACCGCACGCCAUCGCUUUCCCCGUCUUCAUCGAUUCCAGCCUCGGCACCAACCUCGCCAUGUCCGUGUCCCCAGACGACACCGUCGCCGAUCUCAAGAGAAAAAUAAGGAUCGAACACACACUAUGCUUUCCGGAUGUUGGCGAAGUAUCUGUCCAGGCAUUAAAGGUGAAACGAAGAGGUGCAUUCUAUCAUUUAUCAAAUACCAUGCUUGUCAGAAGUGCUUUUGAUGGUAGCAAGGCAACUUGGUUUCUUCAUGUUGAUGUUGUACCUACAUCUAUCUCGAAAUGUCAAGGAGGAACUGCAGAGCAUUUUGAAAAUCAGACUAUGGAGCAUUUAGAUGACAGUCAUCAAAUUCUUGUGGAUCCUAGCCGGAACUUGGAUGAGGAUAGGCUUCCUGGUAGAAAGGAUAUUUCUGUUGAUGAUAUGUCCAAUGUGAACGAGAAGCAUGCUGAGUUGGUUGGUCAUGUUGAUUUAUCAAAACAAAAACCUGGGAGUUGCCAGAUCGAAUGUCUCAUGAAUACUUCUUGUGAUCAAUUUGCUACACAUAAUCGUAAUGUUGAGCAAUCCACACAGGUUCAUCAAUUAGAGAGGCCAGAAAUUGACGUUGAAAACCAGGUGCAUGAAUCAGAUGGUAGGGUCAAAGAAGCAACCAAAUUGUCUGCUAUUCCUAAUUCUGGUCUGUCUUUUGAUCAAGCAAAUAAGGAGGGCAGAGAAAACAAAGUUCCAGAACUUGGAGAUUUUGAUGGUGAAUCUGUUCCUGUUGGUACGGAAGGUAAAUCCACAAAAAGGAAUGAUGUUGAACGGAAUGAUCAUUUCAUCAAUGCAAAUUCUGAACAUGUUCUUUCAGGGAACAAAAUGGGAAAGCAGAGGAAAGCAAACUCUGUUGAGGAGCAUACAUCAACAUAUAAUGUUGGAGGAGCUCUUAGUGGUAAAGAGACUUCCACAAUGGGAAAACUUCCUAGUGAAGUUGAUAUGGUUGCAGGCAAAGCUAAUUUGGUGUCUCCAGAAGAAUUGUACAGUAAACUACGUGAUGGUGACCCUAAUUUGAUAGAACAUCGUACUGAUGAUAAAAAGAAAAGCAAAAGGAGAAGACACUCUUCCAAGUCUCAACAAACUGAAGCGGCUUCUGAUUUGCAAUCAAAUGAUCCUGACAUGGCUUUGCCUCAAAAUACUAUAGAGCCAUAUGUUGAACAUGUACCUUUGUUGUGGAAGAAUUCCAGUGGUCUUGGACCAGAAGUUAAAGAAGGCGAUCAUGUAGGAGCAUUAGUAAACAAGCACAAAGAUCUGAACAAACAGUUUGAUGCUGCAACUAAGCAAGCUUCUGAAAAUGCUGCUGGUGGAGAUUCAUUGCAAGUAGACACUUACUCCCAAAAAAUUGAUGUCUUGGAUUUCAGCAGUGAGAAUAUGGCAAAAGGUUCACAUAUAAAUCAUGUCUCAGACAUGGACUUCUGUAAAAAUAUAGUGGAGGCUGAUACUCAUGAAGUUGCCUUGGAUGAUAACCAUAAAGAUGACAUCACAGAGUCUAACUUUGCACCCAGCACUAAAGAAGCAGCUCCAUUUAGAAAUUCUGCAGAAGUUGAAUCUCAAAUUCCAACUGAUGUCCGCAGAAAGAAAAGAUCCAGGAAGAACUUACCCAAAACAUUAUCUGGUAGCAAUGAUCCUAGUCAUUCUUUAGAAUGUGCCGAUGAAGGGAAUCCCAAAGAACAACAUGGAAAUCAUAGAGGCAUGGAUAAAGAAUCACAUACAAGAACUUCCAAUCAUGAGGAUACUGCAAAGUUAUAUUCUGAAAAUCCUUCUGCUGGUAAUGUUGGAACGCCACAUCGCAAGAGGAGAAGAAAAUCUGAGAAAGUUGAAUUGACCAAUUUCCAGGCUAAUAGUUACGAACCUGUUUCUUCCUUGGACAAUGUAGCAAACAAACAGCACAGCAAAGGGAAAUUGGAUGGCCAAGAACCACAGCAGUUGGUUGUCACUACGGAAAUUAAGUCUCUUCCAAAUACUGCAGUUAUGGAUCCCACGUGUCCUUCCAUCCCUGAUGAUACAAAAUCACAACGAAAAAAGAAAAGAUCUGCUAAGGUUGAACUUCAGGAUCACGAAUCCACCCGACAAAACUUUGCCCACGCUCUGGUUGGACAAGUUGCUGAAGAGAAGGCCAAGAAAACACUGAAUAACCAUGAUAAAGAACUAGGUAAAGAAUCUAACUCAUUGGCUGAUAAUGGAGAAGCUGCAGUACUUGGAGGCUCUACAAAAGUAGAUACAGAAAUUUGUUCGAUUUCUCAAGGUAAAAGUACACAUCGCCGCAAGAGAAAGCCAGGAAAAUUGUAUUUGUCCCAUGACACAUCAGGAAGUCAGAUUACUGAAGUGAAUUUUGAGAAAACAUCCACAAUCAUCAGUAGAUAUCCUGGUGGUGCUUCUGAUGAUGUUAUUCUUCCAAAUAAAACUGAGCAAAAUGCAUCUCAUGAUAAUGGAUUAAAUGUGCAUUCAACUGGAUCUUUUAAUAAUUUAUCCAAUAAAUGUGAAUUUUCCUGCAAUUUGGCAAAAACAGACAAUGAAGAGAAUUUGAAGGGAGCUUUGGUCAGCACUUCUGCUAAUCUUGUUAAAGAAUUUCCACUGCAUAUGGCUCAUAGAAAUUCUGACAAAGCUAUUGAAGCAAAUGAGUCUAGAGAACUUCCAGAUUUUGACAAUGACAAAAUUAACUUUGUUGAUGCUUUCUGUCCAAGUGUUGUCCAGCAUGAAUCUGUUGUUUCUGCACAUGUUUCUACACCAGUUGACACUGAACCCAAGAAACAACACAAGAGUAAGAAGAAAAGAAAAUCAAACAAGCAUGAUUCGGCUUGUGAUUUGGUAUACCCUUCAGAAAUGGAUAAACAUCAUAUGGUAAAUAGUGGACAGCUAAUAUGUGAUUCUGGUAACCAGGAUUUAUCUGAUCAAAUUGGCCAGCCUAGUUCUAAGGGAUUCAGUAAUGGAAAAGCACAUGAUGGUGCUGCCAAGAGGACGACAAAUUGUGAUGUGAAUGCUGGUGCUGCCACGUCUGAAUUUAUGCCUCCAACAAGGUUGCAUGAUAGCAAUGUUGAAGAGAAGAUUCAAGGCAACAAACCUGACACAUUCCGGUUGUCAUCACACGAUGAGCAAAGCAAACAUGUCUAUAAUUCCAAAGAGAAGGCAUCUUCUUUGAAGGCUGCAGCUAAAUCUCCUGACCAUCACCAUGCUAACGCCUCUGUUGACUUAGGAAAUGAAACUUGCCAACCUGAGAAAAAUGUAAUUGUCAAUGUAGGUGCCCAUGCAGUUCAGAGUCCAUCUAAGACUCCUCGAGUUUCUCACAAGGAAACUCUGGCUGAUCCUGUAGCAUCAUCUGACAGCACAGAGGAAGAUACACCAGUCCAAGCUAAACAAUAUCGACUUGCAGUUAGGAAAGUUCCAAGCAAAAAUUUUGGGGAGUUCUCAAACAGUAAUAAACAAGAGAGCUCUUUAUUUACCCCAGGUGCCAUUUUUAAUGCUGCUACAAGUGAUAGUUCUGAAGAUGAGUUUGAGUUCAGGAACAGAGAAGUCACUGAGUUAGGGGCCUUUGAUUCUUCAGCUUCAUCAUCUGAUUCUGAUGGUGACCUUGAGAACAGAAAGAUAUCAGGACCUAAAUCUGCAGCAUAUGGUAGUAAAGAUGAGGGAUCUGAUGGAGACAUCACUUUGUCACAAUCAUUGAGUGUGUCCAGAAAGGGCAUGCCACUGGGUACAAUACUAAGAUCUUCGAGCAGCUACAAAAAGGCCAAGUUUCUUGCUUCUCAAUCACAAGCUGAAGACUCUGAGAGCCAACCUGUAGAUGUCGUACCGGAAACGCAGCCGGAAUCUGAUUGACCGCCAGCUAGUUUGCAGCUUUUCAUGUGAUUUUUUGGACUUCUAAAGCUUAAAUUGGGAGGUGUGACACAGGAUCAUCGACAAAUCUUGUCCAGCCAUUGUGGUCAAACCUUUUUCAUCCCUCUUUGACAGGCACUGGCUGUCCAUGAAGAUUGCUGCUUCCAACAAUUUUGCCUGGUGCUUCAUGGUUUCAUGAUUAGAAAUGAUUGAUUCUGCAGAUUUUUGUUGUCCAAUUUUGGUGUUUUUGAAAUCCGACUGUAGCAAACUAACAGUAUGAGCUCAAUGUUUCUUUGCAAGGUUUUAUGGAUAUACAACUAUCAGUAUCAUGUGUCCAUGGAA